GUUCUGCGCAGUAUCCUUGCUGUUCCUAGGACUGCACUUUCCUGGGGAAUCAUCGUUCAAUUUUGCCUCUUUUCAUCAGCGUCUGUCAUCAUCAUACUUUAGCGUAGAAACGUAAUUUAAACUUCAUCUUUAUCUUUUCAAGUUGUGAGCGUCUAAAUAUUGUGUGUUUUUUAACACACAAUAUGUUAAAUUUUCAGCUUUUCCAUUAGUGUGUAUUGCAUGAGCUAGAGUGUGAUGUCACAGCUAGAGUGCGAGGGCUCGUUUUUUAAAGACUGAACUUCUGUCUUUAACUCAUCACUACAGCCACAAUUUUCACUCUAGCAAUGUAAUUUUUUCAAUAAAUUGUAGUCAUACUUGUCUUCUUUCUAAUGAUGUGUCUGGCUAUACCAGACAUUUUUUAAGCUAGAAUUGUUUAUUUAACCUGUCACUAUAGCCACAGUUUUCAAUCUAUCAACGUCAUUUUUCUCUCAUUUGUAGUCAUACUUGUCUACUUUUUAAUGACGUGUCUGGCUAAGCCAGAGGCUUGCAACACUGUCUAUCUCUGUCCCUGUAGCUGUUAGCAUCAACUGUUCUAGCCAUUAGCAUUCCUUACACAGGAGGGAAGCUAGAUUAUAAACAAAAAUACUUCUGGAGUACAUACCUAUCAAUCGUGCAUCAAACAUGUACUUACGUUUGGGGAAGCAGCAAGUUAAUUACGUCUUUUAGGACCAGAGCCCUUCUUCAACCUCAAGCCCAGUAAUAAAUAUACCCUUGUUUUCAAAGCAGUUGAAGGUGAAAUGGUGUCCACACACGAACAAACAUUUAGGCAGCGGCGCCGUCACAGGUCCAUUUAAAAUAAAAUGAAAACAUAGAGUUCACCUUUGUUGCUUCGCUGAUAAAAACAAAAGGCUUUGAUGCUAGUUGGCACAACCAACAGACUUUUAAUGUUGACUUUAUUUCUCAAGAACCACCAAUUUAAGACUAGCUGAAAGUGGUUUAUACAAAAGGGAACACCUGGAUACAGUAUAUCUAUAUAAGUAAAUGGGUGGCGUUCAAAGAGUCAACUCUGGAUUAGAAAAUAAUUUGUGUAAAUGUGUAAUAGUAUUAACAUAAUCAAGAUACUGGUAACUAAACAAAAAGAUGAAUGUUGCAACAAUUUGAAAGCCACAGCACUGAUGUAAAAAGCUUGUCAUGCAAAAUCAUGUAUCAAUCAUUGCAUUAUCAAUCAUAACUUCUUAAAGGGCCCAUAUCAUGCAAAAUCCACUUUUUAGACAUUUUGGAGCGUUCCUAUGACUCUAUGGGUCACAUAUACACACACUGAGCACGGUAGAAAUGCAUUUCCUGCUUUUUUCACAUUUUGAAAACGUAAAUUUUCUUAUCCAAUGAAAACAGCCACGACCUACUCUGAGGCCGUUCCCCAGUUCUCGUCACACUGGUUGAAAGUUCUCCUUGCAAAUCCUGAACCACCACCCCCACAAUGAUCCCGAACCAAAACUGGACUUCCGCCAUUUCCCCCCUCUCACUCACCGUGAACAGACCAGCACGGCAGCGCCCAAGUCCUCCCAUAGAAAUAGUUCGGUUCUUGGGUGUUCUAACCAACACCAAAGUCUAUUCAUUUUACCAGGGAACAACAAGUGAGGAUUUGUGGGUCACUUUUAUUUUUAACGGACCGGUGCCAGAAACACUGCCUCAGCAUUUAUACGUAUGUGCAUUUCAAACGAGGGUGCGUACAAUGCUGGAUUUGUUUCACGGCUCCUGUUGGAAAAAAAUGACGUAUUCCUAAAGUCCGUCAUCCACUCACUGAAGAGGGCAAAUCCCAGUUGCCCACAUGCAAGGAGGCUGUCAAACAGAGAAAUCACUGCAGACUGUUGGUACACAGACAUCUGCUGCCCAGCUCAGGAGUAAAGGUAUGUAAGUUUGUAUGUACCAACAGUAAGAUAGGUAAUAGAAGAUUUUAAUUGGUAUAUACUGUUUAGAUUUUAUAUUUGAAUUGUAACAACUGUUUAUCUGUUGUUUUAGCACAGACAGGCCUGUCCUCUUGUUUGGUUUAAUUUUUUGUCUGGUAUUGUGUGUUCCUACAUUAGAGAAGGUUUUGACCUACAUAAUAAUUAACAUUUCACUAAUCUACAAUUCUGAUUGCACUACCUUUUGUUUUGAUGAGGUGAUGGUGAGGACAGCCACAGCUUCCAUCUGGUAGAGGACUGCUUCCGCUCAGUCUUCCAAAUAGUGAUGAGAACAAGGAUCACCACAUCUCCCUGUUUACCCUACUUUCAUGCAUUUCGUCUGCAAGGCCCUGCAAAAGCUUCUCCUUCGUCCUCAAACCCCCAGACUUCUUAAUUAACUCAGUAACCUAUACAUUGCACAUUGGAGUGUGAAGGUAACAGUUUGUUCUAGCUUUGGCGUAGUGGUGUAUUUUUUUUGGUUUACAAUAAAGUUGGCUUUAACUAUUA